CGUGGAGCAGCAGGCGCGAAAACUUCACACUGGGGGCAACCCCGAUGAGGGAAUUCCUAGUGCUAGCGCUUUUUGUGCUAGCUCUCCUUCAGUAUAGAUAGCUG
rnacentral:rRNA from 1 species